CCACAUGAGAGGGGCACGUGUGGGGGCUUGAGAGUCUCACAUAUUAGUCAUCAAAUGAUUCACUAAGUAUCAUUCAUGAUGGAUGAACAAGAACAAAAAAAAAAAAAAGCUCGGCCAUGGAGCAAUGUUUACCGAGGUGGAGAUUGGAGAAAGGAAAAUUUGAGGUGUGAAAUUGUUAUAACAUUCAAGUGAUUAGCAAGGUUAAGAAGCCAAGUUGAUUAAGGCUAAAAGAGCGACGAGACGAACGGGUUACGAAUAGCCGCUAACAGGUACAGACGCACAGUUUGGUGAUCCACCAGUUUAGGACAUCCUCUUCUGCUGUUUGGAGUGCUCCUCUUAUUCCGGAGCCUACAUUUUGGUAUAUAUACUUGUUUGAUGCAUAUGUAUAUAUUUGUUCAGGGGUACGACGGGGCCCUGUUCCGCCAUAUGAUCUGUUUGGUCUGUUUAGAGGUCUGUAGACGUAUUUGUGGGUGUGUGUGCCUACUUCUGUACAAAUGUGUUUGUAUGACCCUGUUCGUUAUGGCAGCCUUGUCGGCGUGCACUUUGUAUAUGUUUUGGGCCGUUGCGCCAUCUGUUAGCCUUGUCGGCUUUUGAUACAUUUGAUAGCCUUGCCGGCUUUUCGAUAUAAGUAUAUGUAUAUGUUUGCGCUGAAAUGUGUCCGAUACAGUUUGACAUAG